GAGCAAAAAGAAGCCAGGGACAGUGCUCAGGCCCUGAAUGGGCACUGGUGGCUCACAACUGUAAUCCUUGCUACUCAGAAGGCUGAGAUCUGAGGAUUUUGGUGCAAAGCCAACUUGGACCAGAAAGAUUAUGAGACUCUUAGCUCUAAUUAACUACCAAAAAACUUGAAAAAAAAAAUGG